AAAAUUACAUAGUUAACAAAUACUUUGUGAUUGAAAGUACAAGUCUUAUUGUGUUGGAUAUUUUCAAUAAAUAAAAAAGACAUUUCUACUGAAGACUGAAUUAGGCAGAUUCAGGGUUUAUGCACAUUUUGACUAAUACAUUUCCAUAACUUUUAUAGAUGUUUGUGAUUACUGCAAAAGCAUAUGUAUUUUUUUUUUUUAAAGAAUAUAAAAAUGGCCUGAUAUUUUAAAACAACUUAAAGGUUUUGACUUUCUGAGCCUCAAUGCAGAGCAAAAACAGAAACAUUUACAUUCACUGUAGAGAUUUCCAUUGAUUUCCAGACCUGGAAAUUUUUUAAUUAAAAAAUCUGAAGAGAGACUGAAUUUAAAGUCAGUGGAUUUCACAAUAUUCAUGAUUCAUCAGAAAAUAAGGUAAAAAUGGGAGCAGUUUCAAAAGGUGCUAUUGGGUACCUUAUUUACCCUUAAAGGUGCAUAUUAGUACUUGAAGGUAUAUUAAUAUCUAAAGUGUACGUAUUAGUACCUAAAUUCAUAUAGCACUAUUUGAAAGUGUGCCGCCCCGGUGACAGCUUUUGUACCUUUUUUUUGUGACAGUUACUGUAUUGCUCUAAAAUGGAAAAAAAAUUAAACCAUAAAAAAAUUUUAACUUACCAGUCAGACUCAUCCAAUACAAACAGAACAAAACAAACAUGUGAAGCAUUUUCUUCAUUCGUUCAGCAUCUGCUUUAAUAAAACUAUCUGCUGAAAUCAUUCAAGCGUAUAUGAAUCCUCCCACAAGAAUUUGACCCUCCUGUUCACUCGCUGCAUUUGCACACUUACUUAAAAAAGUAUCCAGUAACGUAAUCCAAGCACCACAAUAUGAAAGUAAUGUAAUCUGAUUACUUUUGGUUUCCUUCAAGUCACAUAUGUAAAUAAACCAUUGUGAUUUUAAAAUUGUGUAUAUUUAUUCAGUUCUCAAUUUUAGUCUGAAAAAAAGUACAAAGUUCAAAUCGUGUCUGAUCUCUCUGUGCUAGUUUUAGUGUCGUUCAGUCAAACUGAAACCUGCUGCGGUGGUUUUUCUUCAGAAAUGUGGUUUGAGCUGGACGAACAUCUUGAAGAGAUAGUGUAUUCAGAUCAGGUGUGACAGUGUUCGUUUGUAGGUGAUGAGUUUCUUCCUGAUUCUUUGAACUGAAACAUGAGAAACUGCAUUUGACACAGAGACAGAAACACAAUCAUCAUAUUUAACACUGACAUUCACAAGUUUAAUCUGAAAGUUAUUAUUAUUAUUUUGUUUUUUAAGUUAAUAUAUGGGUCAAUGACAUGACAGGUCAGUUUUUGUCCAAAGGCCUUAAUAAUAAUAAAGAACAAAGAUAUGACAUCCAAAGUAUGUAAGGUAGUGCAACAAGAUCUCUUUUAUUGAAUCCAAAAGGUUUUAAUUAUAUUUUGCUACAUAUAAAGGUAUUUUAAAAGAUUUUGAAGUGUCAAAAGGUCAUUCGGUUUAACCGUCCAAAGGCCAAUACAGCCAUUUCAUUAGUGAUUAAAAUAUCUUAAAAUGUAAUAAAUGUAUGUAUUUUUUAUUCUGGCAUGAUUUUAUAACAUCAUAUAUUAACAUAGUGCGAAAUGGUAUUAAAAUUAUGUGUAGAAGUCGUUGCUUUGCUAUGAGAGAGAAUAUCCGGAAAAAUGAAUUUCAUUGAUGUCAUUCAGAGUAACCAAUAUAAAGGGACCGUUUUGGAUCAAGUCAUGCGUUCAAUAUCAUGUGACAGGAUGUGACAUCAUUCAGACACCUGCAAAGGACCACAUGGUUGUGAAGCAAAGUAACUAACUCUCUCUUAACUACUUGAAAAAUUCAUGUUUUCACUUGCUCAUACGCAUGUCCCAAAACAUCAGGUCAUUCGGUACAACCGCUAUAAAACAUGGAAAAUGUUGUAAUAUUUUAAAAACUCAUUUUAUUCAUUACGCUCCGAAUCUUCCUGAAGCAGUGUUUUGAAAUCGGCCAUCACUAAAUAAUUCAUUAUUUUGUUUUUUUUGGCACACCAAAAAUAUUCUCGUCGCUUUAUAAUAUUAAUAUUGAACCACUGUACUCACAUGAACUGAUUUAAAUAUGUUUUUAGUACCUUUAUGGAUCUUGAGAGAGGAAAUGCCAUUGCUCCCUAUGUAGGCCUCAUGGAGCCAUCGGAUUUAAACAAAAAUAUCUCAAUUUGCGUUCCGAAGAUCAACGAAGGUCUUACGGGUGUAAAACGGCACAAGGGUGAGUAAUUAAUGACAGAAUUUUCAUUUUUGGGUGAACUAACACUUUAAUAUUCCAAAAGAAGUGAAGUCUUAUUUUAAACACUAGAUGGCGCUCACUAGCACUUUUUCAAUUGAAUUAACCCCUGCUGUUAGAUUCAACUACACCAUUAUGUAGAGGAAAAUUGAUUGUUUCUACAUUUGUAACUAUUCAGCUGUAGUGUUGUAGACCUACCAGUGUUAUGUUUCACCAGUGACACUUUUGUGGAGGCUUUUAAUAUGGACUAUGUGUUUUUCAUAUGUAAAUCACUAGACUAGUGAUCAUCAAAUUCUUUUAACAGUUUAUUUUACAGACUUUAAGUUUACCACUUUUUUUCACAACACCUUUGCUCUCUAGAAACAAUGUCAGUUUGGGUUAAAAUUCUUCGAAUUACUGAAUUAAUACCAAUAUAUGAAAUUAGGGACAUGCAUCAGAAAAAUGGACAAAUAUAUAUAUAUAUAGUACAAGGAAUAUAACUUGAUAGUAAACUGUUUUUGCAGUGUUGUCUUAUAUUAAUGUCAUUUUGUCAUGUGUAUCUGUUGUUCAUUUGGCAUUUCACCCCAAAAUGGCGGCCGCUCUACCGAAGCGCCUCCUAGUGGCUGUUACCAAAAAAGCAUCAGAGUUGGCCUCUUAGCUUCUCUUUGGUCAAGCUUCACCACAACAAAGACCAAACUAAGUAAAAACUGCGAUUGAGAAGUGGUGGAUCCAAAAUGGUCAAUAUUUAUACAUUUUUAUUCAGAUUUCAUGUUAAUCAUUUAUGGCUUAUGAUUAUCACAUUAUCUUUGAUUUCAUAUAUUCAGGUACUCCUACUCCAUAUAUUAAUCCUCAUCAUAUUUUCAAGUAUUUACUCUUUAUUGUGCUCAUUUAUGGUUAUUCUUCAUUGUAUCUUCUUUUAUCUUUAAGAGUAUGCUUGCUAUAUUCAAUUGUUCUUCAAGUGUUUCAGCGGGACAAGUUAUAUUGGCACAUUUGUGGCUAUAUUGGAUGCCUUCCAAAAACUGCAGAAGCAAUGAAGUUUUCAGAAUUUGUUGCUCAUUUGAACUUGAUGUACCUUUGAAUAAUGCAAGAUCUCUUAAAGGUGUCAAAACAAGACCUUCUGUAUCUAAUCUCAUCUAUCUUUUGACAUUUGACCAGUCACUCUGACCUAGCCGUUAACUAUGACAUAUGAUAUAAGUCUGUUUGACCUUUUCUUAUUAUACCAAAACAUAAGUUUAAGGGGGUGUAAGUACGUUUCCUGCAGUCGUUGCUCUUAUUUUGCUCUUCACUUCCUUUCUACUUAAUGCAUUUUGCUUCUCCUUCUACCUCUUCUCCUUUCAUUCUGCGGAGAUCUUCUUUCGUUCUUCCUUUCUCUAUGCUCUGAUCUUCACUCUUCAUCUGUUAUACAAUACUUUGGAUUUUCUUAUAAACUAUUAUUUACUUGAUUAAUUUGUUUGUCUCUAUAAUUUUACAUUUUUACUUACUAAAUUUGUUAUUCCUUAUUCAAAUUUGAUCUCUGACAUAAUCAUUGCUGGACUACCUGGAUCUCAUUGGAUCAGUUUUUGCAUCAAGAAGAUAGCACUUUUUAUUGAAUUUUGAAGUAUUUGUUUCAUGAACCAGUCCCACUUGUCACAGAACAGAUCACAGCCUUGGACAAAAUGUGUUGUUACUCAGUUUUGGAUAACAGUGCUGUUAAUACUGAAAAAAUUGUCUGUUAGCAGCGUUUCUCCCUUUUUUUACACACCAAAACUGAUGAAAACUAAAGAAAUUUUUUAACCAUCAAACAAAUGCAUGAUGUCACAAAUAUUACAACAGUGAAUCAUACAUUGAUUUAUUCUUAAAAUGACUAAAUUUAUACAAUGAAUAUAUUAAAAAGACAAAAACAAGGUCUUGAGAUGAUCUUAAUAUCAAUCUCAAUAUUAAUACUAUAGACUGCAGGAGUUUACUAUAAAAUGGUCACAGAUGGAUCUGGUAAAGACUGAAUCAUCUUCUCAUGCUGACAGACAUACUCCACGUGACUGUACUCUUCAGCUCUCUGUUAAAACAUCACACAAGAGAUAGUCAAAUAUUUUAAAUGGAAAAAACAUUCAGUGGUUUUUGCAAAAAAAUAUGAUCAAAUAUUAAACUAGUAAUAUUAGCAUGAACUGUGCAGACUUAAAGGUACAGUAUGCAAGUUUUGUCACUAGAGGUCGCUUAUUCAAAACAAUAACAAUCAGAUUUACUGUAGAUCUCUUAAACAAUUCAGAUUUCAAUAAUUACUGUAUAAAUAAAAUAAAAUCUACCACAAGUUUUAUAUACACUACCAUAUACUCUACGCUACCAUAAGUUUUAGAAUGGCAAAAUUUUUAAUGUUUUUAAAACAAGCCUUUUCUACUCACCAAGGCUGCGUUUAUUUGCUCAAAGACACACAAAAACAAUAAUAUUGUAUUUUUUUUACUAUUUAAAAUACCUGUUUUCUAUGUGAAUAUAUUGUAAAAUAUUAUUUAUUCCUGUGAUCAAAGCUGAAUUUUCAGCAUCAUUCCUCCAGUCUUCAGUGUCACAUGAUCCUUCAGAAAUCAUUCUGAUAUGAUGAUUUGCUGCUCAACAAAGAUUUCUGAUUAUUAUCAAUGUUGAAAACAGUACAUUUUUUGUACAUUUUUUAGGGUUCUUUGAUGAAUAGAAAGUUCAAAUGAACAGCAUUUAUCUGAAAUAGAAACUUUUGUAAUAUUAUGUCUUUA